UUUGGUUAAGUUAGAAAGGGCGCACGGUGGAUGCCUUGACACUAGGAGUCGAUGAAGGACGGGACUAACGCCGAUAUGCUUCGGGGAGCUGUAAGUAAGCUUUGAUCCGAAGAUUUCCGAAUGGGGAAACCCACCAUACGUAAUGGUAUGGUAUCCUUAUCUGAAUACAUAGGGUAAGGAAGACAGACCCAGGGAACUGAAACAUCUAAGUACCUGGAGGAAGAGAAAGCAAAUGCGAUUUCCUGAGUAGCGGCGAGCGAAACGGAACAUAGCCCAAACCAAGAGGCUUGCCUCUUGGGGUUGUAGGACAUUCUAUACGGAGUUACAAAGGAACGAGGUAGACGAAGCGACCUGGAAAGGUCCGUCGUAGAGGGUAACAACCCCGUAGUCGAAACUUCGUUCUCUCUUGAAUGUAUCCUGAGUACGGCGGAAUACGUGAAAUUCCGUCGGAAUCUGGGAGGACCAUCUCCCAAGGCUAAAUACUCCCUAGUGAUCGAUAGUGAACCAGUACCGUGAGGGAAAGGUGAAAAGCACCCCGGAAGGGGAGUGAAAGAGAUCCUGAAACCGUGUGCCUACAAAUAGUCAGAGCCCGUUAACGGGUGAUGGCGUGCCUUUUGUAGAAUGAACCGGCGAGUUACGAUCCCGUGCGAGGUUAAGCUGAAGAGGCGGAGCCGCAGCGAAAGCGAGUCUGAAUAGGGCGUUUAGUACGUAGUCGUAGACCCGAAACCAGGUGAUCUACCCAUGUCCAGGGUGAAGUUCAGGUAACACUGAAUGGAGGCCCGAACCCACGCACGUUGAAAAGUGCGGGGAUGAGGUGUGGGUAGCGGAGAAAUUCCAAUCGAACCUGGAGAUAGCUGGUUCUCCCCGAAAUAGCUUUAGGGCUAGCCUUAAGUGUAAGAGUCUUGGAGGUAGAGCACUGAUUGGACUAGGGGUCCUCAUCGGAUUACCGAAUUCAGUCAAACUCCGAAUGCCAAUGACUUAUCCUUAGGAGUCAGACUGCGAGUGAUAAGAUCCGUAGUCAAAAGGGAAACAGCCCAGACCGCCAGCUAAGGUCCCAAAGUGUGUAUUAAGUGGAAAAGGAUGUGGAGUUGCUUAGACAACUAGGAUGUUGGCUUAGAAGCAGCCACCAUUUAAAGAGUGCGUAAUAGCUCACUAGUCGAGUGACUCUGCGCCGAAAAUGUACCGGGGCUAAAUACACCACCGAAGCUGCGGAUUGAUACCGAAUGGUAUCAGUGGUAGGGGAGCGUUCUAAGGACAGUGAAGUCAGACCGGAAGGACUGGUGGAGUGCUUAGAAGUGAGAAUGCCGGUAUGAGUAGCGAAAGACGGGUGAGAAUCCCGUCCACCGAAUGCCUAAGGUUUCCUGAGGAAGGCUCGUCCGCUCAGGGUUAGUCAGGACCUAAGCCGAGGCCGACAGGCGUAGGCGAUGGACAACAGGUUGAUAUUCCUGUACCACCUCUUUAUCGUUUGAGCAAUGGAGGGACGCAGAAGGAUAGAAGAAGCGUGCGAUUGGUUGUGCACGUCCAAGCAGUUAGGCUGAUAAGUAGGCAAAUCCGCUUAUCGUAAAGGCUGAGCUGUGAUGGGGAAGCUCCUUAUGGAGCGAAGUCUUUGAUUCCCCGCUGCCAAGAAAAGCUUCUAGCGAGAUAAAAGGUGCCUGUACCGCAAACCGACACAGGUAGGCGAGGAGAGAAUCCUAAGGUGUGCGAGAGAACUCUGGUUAAGGAACUCGGCAAAAUGACCCCGUAACUUCGGGAGAAGGGGUGCUUUCUUAACGGAAAGCCGCAGUGAAUAGGCCCAAGCGACUGUUUAGCAAAAACACAGCUCUCUGCGAAGCCGUAAGGCGAAGUAUAGGGGGUGACACCUGCCCGGUGCUGGAAGGUUAAGGAGAGGGGUUAGCGUAAGCGAAGCUCUGAACUGAAGCCCCAGUAAACGGCGGCCGUAACUAUAACGGUCCUAAGGUAGCGAAAUUCCUUGUCGGGUAAGUUCCGACCCGCACGAAAGGUGUAACGAUUUGGGCACUGUCUCAACCAGAGACUCGGUGAAAUUAUAGUACCUGUGAAGAUGCAGGUUACCCGCGACAGGACGGAAAGACCCCGUGGAGCUUUACUGUAGCCUGAUAUUGAAUUUUGGUACAGUUUGUACAGGAUAGGCGGGAGCCAUUGAAACCGGAGCGCUAGCUUCGGUGGAGGCGCUGGUGGGAUACCGCCCUGACUGUAUUGAAAUUCUAACCUACGGGUCUUAUCGACCCGGGAGACAGUGUCAGGUGGGCAGUUUGACUGGGGCGGUCGCCUCCUAAAGUGUAACGGAGGCGCCCAAAGGUUCCCUCAGAAUGGUUGGAAAUCAUUCGUAGAGUGCAAAGGCAUAAGGGAGCUUGACUGCGAGACCUACAAGUCGAGCAGGGACGAAAGUCGGGCUUAGUGAUCCGGUGGUUCCGCAUGGAAGGGCCAUCGCUCAACGGAUAAAAGCUACCCCGGGGAUAACAGGCUUAUCUCCCCCAAGAGUCCACAUCGACGGGGAGGUUUGGCACCUCGAUGUCGGCUCAUCGCAUCCUGGGGCUGUAGUCGGUCCCAAGGGUUGGGCUGUUCGCCCAUUAAAGCGGUACGCGAGCUGGGUUCAGAACGUCGUGAGACAGUUCGGUCCCUAUCCGUCGUGGGCGUAGGAAAUUUGAGAGGAGCUGUCCUUAGUACGAGAGGACCGGGAUGGACGCACCGCUGGUGUACCAGUUGUUCUGCCAAGGGCAUAGCUGGGUAGCUAUGUGCGGAAGGGAUAAGUGCUGAAAGCAUCUAAGCAUGAAGCCCCCCUCAAGAUGAGAUUUCCCAUAGCGUAAGCUAGUAAGAUCCCUGAAAGAUGAUCAGGUUGAUAGGUUCGAGGUGGAAGCAUGGUGACAUGUGGAGCUGACGAAUACUAAUAGAUCGAGGACUUAACCAUAUAA
rnacentral:rRNA from 1 species